AUACGGAGGGGGCUAGCGUUGUUCGGAAUUACUGGGCGUAAAGCGCGCGUAGGAGGACCAGUCAGUCAGGGGUGAAAUCCCGGGGCUCAACCCCGGAACUGCCUUUGAUACUGCUGGUCUUGAGUUCGAGAGAGGUGAGUGGAAUUCCGAGUGUAGAGGUGAAAUUCGUAGAUAUUCGGAGGAACACCAGUGGCGAAGGCGGCUCACUGGCUCGAUACUGACGCUGAGGUGCGAAAGCGUGGGGAGCAAACAGAAUUAGAAACCCGAGUAGUCC
rnacentral:rRNA from 1 species